rnacentral:ncRNA from 2 species
GGUAACCCUUACGGGAGCCAGCCGCCGAAGGUGGGACAGAUGAUUGGGGUGAAGUCGUAACAAGGUAGCCGUAUCGGAAGGUGCGGCUGGAUCACCUCCUUU